ACCAGAUGAUGGAGGAAACUUCAUGUUUUGAGCCCUGGGCUUUGACUCCAGGGAGGGCUUCUGCCCUUUUGUUACUUGUAUGAUUUAAUGAGCAUAAUAUUUUGCAUAACAGUCAACUGGUUUAACAUGUUCUCCUUUCCGCUUUCUUUUUCUUACCAUUUUUCUAUCUUUCCCUUCCUACCCUCGCAUUGGACUUCGACCCCGUGCUUCAGUUCUGAUGGCCCACCACCACAAGAGAAGAGUGCUGCACUUUCCAACGAUGGGCUCCUCACCACAUGCUAACAAAUACCCAGCUCCCGAGCACUUUGGCUGCUGCCGUCCAUUUGGGGGUUCAGCAAUGGAGACACUGGCUUCGUUCAUUGAUACAUUCCAUCUGCAUCCACCCCUGAUGAGAGAGCAAUGAUCUUGCGAAACGUGCGGCGGGUUCUCUGAUGUGUGCAUUUGUAUAUACUGCAUUGUAUAACGUUUGUAUCAAUUUUAAUUACCCUUUAUUAUGUGCAAAUCCAU